CGACGCGGAAAGCGCCGCUGCGGCAGCGGCCGCGGAGGCUCCCCGGGGCCCGGGCGGCUCGACCCGGUACGGACGGGAGGCUCGGGCGGGCGGCCCGGCGUGGGACUCGGGUGCGGGCGACCAGGAGGUGCCGACCGCGGCGCUCGGACCUGGUAACUUACAAGAUUAAAAUUAUAUUUGGUUGAUGAUGGUUCUGAACAAAUACAGCUCUUAUUUGAGGUAUGCCAUUUUGAAGACUGAGACCGUGGAAUUUUAUCCUUGAGGAUAAAGGAAAUCUUUGCGAUAGUCUGUAUUUUAUAUAGCAAAAAUAUGAAUCCUGAGGCUGAAUUAUCUAAGGGGCCAGUAAAACGAAAAUAGAUGUUGGUGAAGAAUUUAUUUACACCCAGUCAGCUUGAAGAGUCUCAAAUGGACCCUACCACUGAGAAAUCAAGAUGGCAGUCCACUAUGGGGAAUUGAGAAAAAUGGAUUAAUACAAGAGUGCUGUGAUAAUAUACAACCAAGACAGGGUUCUUUUAACAUGGAUUUCAUGAAAUGAAUGAAGAUAUAGGUUUCUUACCCAGCACAAAUGGACAGUGAAUUUGACUUUCUAGAGACUUUGUAUCAUUAAGAACAUUUUUGACAUUUGGAGAAGAAAGAUGGCACAUUAACAGAUGAUAGUUUGUAUGCCUGGAAUCUUUUGCAGUUUGAUCUGUAUGAGUAUGAUCUUGUGGAAUGUUAACUUUAAUAAAAUUUCUAACACUUUAAAAUUUCUCAGUUUGGGCUUUUUUUUUUU